CAGAAGAUAGUUUAAAUAAAAUAUUAAUUUUGGAUAUUAAAGAUACUUAAAAUAGUUUUUUUGA
rnacentral:tRNA from 1 species